rnacentral:lncRNA from 1 species
CUAAAGUUUAUAAAUUCACGAAAACACUCAUAUCUCCCCCUAUAUUACGUAGUUUGGUCAAAUCUUCCACACGAAAAACUCUCACGUAGAUGAGACGCAACCACCUAUAUAAAAAAUUUUGAGACAUUUACCUUCCGACGAUAGGGCUCCCCACUAAGAAAUAAUAACGGUAAAUAGGUUGACCGCUACUAUCGGCUCCGAGACUUUACCCGUACUUUACGUUGAUUUUUGUAACCAUAGCCGUAUUUCUACCAUUUUGUAACACAUCUUAUUUCACGAGAUUUUUCUAUAAUUUUGUCUUCCUAUGUAGAGUUGGUUCACAAAGUUGUAUAACCUACUAAACAAGUUAUACAACAUUAGUAGACACGUUGUGAUUCCGAUGACUAAAAUUCACAAACCAAAAUUCGACCGUCAGAUAUGAUCAUUAUGACGAAAUAUGUCUAUGGUAAAAAAUUCAACUGGAUCCGACAACGUUAAGGGCUCGAUCGAAACGGUCAACCAUAAUCCAUCGUCACUUGUCACACAAAAACGCUCAUAUCUCCCUCUAUAUUACGUAGUUUGGUCAAACCUUCCACACAAAAAACUCUCACGUAGAUGAGACGAAACUGCCCAUAUAAAAAUUUUGAGACAUUUACCUUCCGACGAUAGGGCUCCCCAUAAACCCGAAUAACGGUAAAUAGUAGACACGUUGUGAUUCCGAUGACUAAAAUUCACAAACCAAAAUUCGACCGUCAGAUAUGAUCAUUAUGACGAAAGAUGUCUAUGGUAAAAAAUUCAACUGGAUUCGACAACGUUAAGGGCUCGAUCGAAACGGUCAACUCUAAUCGAAAAUAAGAAAACUGCCGUUACGCUUCCGGAAAGGUAUCACAAUAGUCAAUCAGACACCAAACGCCAAAUCUGCAGCAUAGUGAAUAGUAAGGGUAAGUCAACUAUCGGCACCGAGACUUUACCGGAAUACUGUGAUUUUUCAACCGUAGUCGUAUUUCACCGUUCUGGUCAUAUCUUAUUUCAC